UGACCGCCACAACGGCUUCCUGGCGUGGCGGCGUCAUUUCAACGGAGCA
ncrna:Paracoccus denitrificans PD1222 SAM/SAH riboswitch